rnacentral:rRNA from 2 species
AGAGUUUGAUCCUGGCUCAGGAUGAACGCUAGCGGCAGGCUUAACACAUGCAAGUCGAGGGGCAGCAUAAUGGAUAGCAAUAUCUAUGGUGGCGACCGGCGCACGGGUGCGUAACGCGUAUGCAACCUACCUUUAACAGGGGGAUAACACUGAGAAAUUGGUACUAAUACCCCAUAACAUCAUGAAAGGCAUCUUUUAUGGUUGAAAAUUCCGAUGGUUAGAGAUGGGCAUGCGUUGUAUUAGCUAGUUGGUGAGGUAACGGCUCACCAAGGCGACGAUACAUAGGGGGACUGAGAGGUUAACCCCCCACACUGGUACUGAGACACGGACCAGACUCCUACGGGAGGCAGCAGUGAGGAAUAUUGGUCAAUGGACGCAAGUCUGAACCAGCCAUGCCGCGUGCAGGAUGACGGCUCUAUGAGUUGUAAACUGCUUUUGUACUAGGGUAAACUCACCUACGUGUAGGUGACUGAAAGUAUAGUACGAAUAAGGAUCGGCUAACUCCGUGCCAGCAGCCGCGGUAAUACGGAGGAUUCAAGCGUUAUCCGGAUUUAUUGGGUUUAAAGGGUGCGUAGGCGGUUUGAUAAGUUAGAGGUGAAAUGUUAGGGCUCAACCCUGAAACUGCCUCUAAUACUGUUGGACUAGAGAGUAGUUGCGGUAGGCGGAAUGUAUGGUGUAGCGGUGAAAUGCUUAGAGAUCAUACAGAACACCGAUUGCGAAGGCAGCUUACCAAACUAUAUCUGACGUUGAGGCACGAAAGCGUGGGGAGCAAACAGGAUUAGAUACCCUGGUAGUCCACGCAGUAAACGAUGAUAACUCGUUGUCGGCGAUACACAGUCGGUGACUAAGCGAAAGCGAUAAGUUAUCCACCUGGGGAGUACGUUCGCAAGAAUGAAACUCAAAGGAAUUGACGGGGGCCCGCACAAGCGGAGGAACAUGUGGUUUAAUUCGAUGAUACGCGAGGA